AAUGGUCUCAUAAUUGAGAUAAUAGGGAAUUCGUGCAAACGAAGCUGUCCCCGCAACUGUAUACGUGGAGUGAGUCACCUCAGUUUUUACUGAUAGAGCCACUGAAGCUUAACUAUAAGCUUUGGGAAGGUAGUGACAAGCAAUGAAGCGUGAGCCAGAAGACCUGCCAUUUUG
rnacentral:ncRNA from 1 species